rnacentral:rRNA from 1 species
GAUGAACGCUGACAGAAUGCUUAACACAUGCAAGUCUACUUGAACUUCGGUUUGGGUGGCGGACGGGUGAGUAACGCGUAAAGAACUUGCCUCACAGUUAGGGACAACAUUUGGAAACGGAUGCUAAUACCUGAUAUUAUGAUUUUAGGGCAUCCUAAGAUUAUGAAAGCUAUAUGCGCUGUGAGAGAGCUUUGCGUCCCAUUAGCUAGUUGGAGAGGUAACGGCUCACCAAGGCGAUGAUGGGUAGCCGGCCUGAGAGGGUGAACGGCCACAAGGGGACUGAGACACGGCCCUUACUCCUACGGGAGGCAGCAGUGGGGAAUAUUGGACAAUGGACCAAAAGUCUGAUCCAGCAAUUCUGUGUGCACGAUGACGUUUUUCGGAAUGUAAAGUGCUUUCAGUUGGGAAGAAAAAAAUGACGGUACCAACAGAAGAAGUGACGGCUAAAUACGUGCCAGCAGCCGCGGUAAUACGUAUGUCACAAGCGUUAUCCGGAUUUAUUGGGCGUAAAGCGCGUCUAGGUGGUUAUGUAAGUCUGAUGUGAAAAUGCAGGGCUCAACUCUGUAUUGCGUUGGAAACUGCAUGACUAGAGUACUGGAGAGGUAAGCGGAACUACAAGUGUAGAGGUGAAAUUCGUAGAUAUUUGUAGGAAUGCCGAUGGGGAAGCCAGCUUACUGGACAGAUACUGACGCUAAAGCGCGAAAGCGUGGGUAGCAAACAGG